rnacentral:lncRNA from 1 species
AACAUGCCACGUCUUGCAUGUCUGCAUUUUCGCCGCUCUUACACGCAAACAGGCGUACUCACAUCUGUAUAUUUAAGAGCAGCAGCAGAUACAGCUGGCUGCAGUGACUGUUUCUACUGCGUCGGGUCCUUAACCUCAUCGCGUUGGGAGACGCGACGAACUAAGUACCGCAUCAGCGACAUCAAACGCAUCCGACACUGGGCGGAAUCGAAUAAAUACGCGGAAAUACGUGCGCCCUCCGACACACAAACGCAUCGAACGCCUCUACGGUCAUACAGGGGCAGAAGAAGUCCGUACUAUAGAAAUAUGAGCAUGACGGUGACCAGGAGCCGUCAGCGAGCAGCCCGCACAAAUUUAUCCUUGAUUACGUUUUGCUCUUAUCGUCGUUUACCGUUGCUUCUGAUGCCGCUAAAGUGUUUCCAUCACUCUCAUCUACGGAGUCCUUCUGCAAACAACAAAGAAGAAAAUGGCUUCGAUUCUUAUCGUCGCUGUCGCCAUCGCCGAUAAACAAGCCGACAACUGUGACAUAGUAGCAUAGCAGGGAGGAAUCUUUCAACUCGGACCAAUUUUCUUUGUGCUUGACCAGACGGUACGGUGUAAACGAUACGUGCAUAUGGACGUCAUGCUGCCGGAAGGCGCCUGAACGCCGUUCGGUGCGAAUGUAUGAUUCAGUUAGGACAGUAGUUCGAUUUUGUUGUAUUACGGGAUAUUUUUCCCGCAAUUGGAUUUUCUGCCGGUAGCUGGUGGCUUCCAUAGGAAGAGGAAAAGCGGCCAUGACAUAGACAGGAAUGAAUGAAAUCAGAUCAGAUAGUUAUGAACUAGUGUCUGGUACUGUGCUAUACAUAAGGGCAUGUUCGUUUGAAAUCUACAAACAAAGGGAAUGAUGCGAACAAUUCGGGUAUAGCGACUGCCACCGACUAUAUGGAUCGCAUCGGCCUUUCUUCACGUCGCAGGGUUGCACGGCGACCAGAAACGGAUCCCAGCAUCAAACAGGUCGACAGAAAAAGAACACCACAGGCAACAACGUACAUAUUAGGAAUUAUUAUGUUUUUGGAAAAAGGACCAUCUGUUUGCCCCGGAGACUAACGGCCAUAUUGUUCCGCUUGGCUUCAGAUACCACAUCGCCGAUUCUAGCGGCCGCCACAACUGUCUUUCUAACGACUUGUCUAAUGAUCAGGAGAUAAAUCGAUAAUGCAUAUCUCUCUCUAUUUCUCGUCACUAGAACCAGCAUGUCCUGCUCAAAAUUUCAUAUACGCAGGUAAUUUAAAUUGCAAACAUUUAGUCAGUUAUAGCAGCAGCGGCGGCGGCUACGGUGAGGCAAUUCUCAGUACGUUCUAUCGACUGUUGUGCAACGCCCUCCCUUUAAUCGAUACAACGUUCGUGUGGGAGGGAUUUAACGAUUAUUGGUCGAUAAUAUUAUAUUAUUAGACAACGGUCGGCAUUUUAGAGGGCUAUUUUAGGCGCCGCCCAUCACCUCUAGUCACGAUAUCAUUUGGAUUACGUACACACGUUCAGUCACUAAGCGCUCUAUCUACGGUGUAUUUGUACUAGUGUAUUAGAUAAUUAUGACAUGGCAUAUAAACCAUAUUGUUUGCAUAGGGUGGAUAGGUACUGUUUAACUACGUAUGUAAACGUGGCAUAUAGUGGACGUUUGACCCUCGGAAGAACUAGAGGUGCCUGUAUGUCGACCACUUUCAGCCGGUCUGACGAUAACAGGACAAUACUACACAAUCUAUGUGGAUAAGGUAUUUUGUUUAGGAUCGGGCUAUUGAGCCUCAGCUAGUGCUGAAAUGCUGCGAUUUGCCCGCUGCACGGGGUGAGAGUCAGUUGACUGAGACGCACUUGGGCCUACUAAACGGUUCUCCCAAAUGGCUAAAUUUAACUAGAGUUUUUCUAUGCCUUCUACAUAGAUCCCAAAUGAUACGGCGAUGGAUGGACAAAACUUCGUCCAUAAUCUCCGCCCACUUUUCCGUUAGUACUCGUUGGGAGCAAAUUUCUCAUAAACUAUAGUAUUACACAUUAGACAAACAGAGCCAUAUUGUAACUAGCACGGCAUCGUAUCGCUUAUGUGUCAUUACGUAUAGCAGACUAUCAUGCUAUAUAUGCUAUAUGUUUAGAAAGAGGGAAACAAUAGAAGGGAAGCAGGUUUCUACGUAUGCAUAUUCUUUUUCCUAGCUACCGCCGCCCCUAAAGCGCCGCGCUAGAAUCUGGUCACCUGGUUUCUUACGGCGUUUCGAAUGGUCGAUGCUGAAGUCAGACUUUAGCCAUCGGACGUUGCGAUUGCCGUCUUCCAGGCGACCACCUCGUCGUCUGCCAGUACGUAUUACGUUCCUUCUGUUCUGGAAACUUCGCUCCUAAUCGAUCUGCCAGUACGUCUGCAACAGCGGCGCAAUGCUGUGGGUAGCUUUACUGGACGAGCGCGGCAUUUUCGCUCGCGUUUCCAGAGUGCUGCCGAAUCCAGGAGUUGAUGAUAGCGGCGCGUGCGUCGCACGCGUCUGAAGCAGGUUGAUGAUCCAUUCAGAAAACGAUGAGGAAGCCGAAGAGAAAGGUGAAAAACGGCCACGGCAACGAUGAAAAAGGGGAAGAAAUUUGAAAGAAUAAAGUGUCCGGCUCCAGAUCCGAGCUAACAAAUGACAACAGCUGUGCGAGCGCUGGCUAACCGAGAUGAAACAGGGUAGAAUAUACCCCUCCCACCCAGUGACACCGAGAAUUGAGGAGGUCGGUGUGGGGGGUUUGUCAUACAAGGCUACUAGAGGAACUGCCUAGCGUUAGCAGCACAGCCACUACGGGUGCUGCUGUUACCAGCAGAUGAUCGGAAAUCAGACAACUGAAUGGAUCUGACUAUAACAUGACGCGAUGCCGACGUGGUUGCUUUGCAACUAUACGACUCUUUUUCGUUCUCUAUUCUCACUUUUCCCCUCUCUUUGCUCAGUCACGGCGGAGCCAGUGAUAGAGGUAACGGCAGAGUACUGGCAUGAUCGUCAUCGGAUGGAGCUGAUCCAUGCGGCCCGUUCUACUCGACCAGUAGAAACCUCUUUGGUCUAUCAUCCCCUCAGCUCUUCAGUCCCCUUCAUCCGUUUUGAAUGGAACCCCACUCGGGUCGCCUGAUCGUGGUCGAAGCAGAGGAGCAGAAUCAGGAACAACAACGAACACCGGAGAAGACGCCAUCCCAAGACGAUGAGAGUCGGACUCCGUCGAAUGGAACUAACUUCGUGAAGACAACAUCGACAGCACCGCGAUGGCAGCGGCUACGGUGGCGACAACGGGGGAUGAUGCCGAUGUCGCACCAUCAUCAUCAAAAAAAACACAGCCAAGAAGAUAAAGAAAACUUCAGAACAAUGAAAGUUGUUCUCCGUGGAGAAGUCUUUUUCUUUUCUACUCUUUCUUCCCAUUUUUUUUGAUGUUGAUUCUCUCAGUUUCUGGUUGUGUACUUUGCUUUUCGUCUGUUUGUUUGUCUAUCUGUCUGUGCGUGCGUGAUAGCAAUAGUCAAUGGCGGUAGAAGCCGAGAUGCGGCUCAGCACCAGUGCCGAGGACGUUGAUCCUUCCCACUACAAACAUUAUCAUCGGAUGAACUGAACCAAACGGAUGUUGUCGCAAUUUGAAGCUUUCGUUGAGGCCUGCAUCGUAUCCAGAUUGAAUACUUACGACGGUACUGCCGCAGCGACAAUACAAAUGAACACAAGCUACGUUUGCACUAACGAAAACCAUGCCAAGUCUCUAGUUCAACGGUACUAGGAAGUGCCCCAUCGACCAUAUUAGCUAAAUAACAAAGCGGAGCACACGGCUACUUUACCUCACAUUGCCAAGGAAGACGUUGUCAACUGGCCGUUGAAGAAGCCAGUGCCGAUCACCUCCAUCCAAAUCAAUCAGUAUCAAUCAACAGAGGUGCCGACGCUACCGGUUGACCGCAUUGCGUCGAUCAUCGUAUCUAUUACGACAUUGCUGUUUCAACAUAGACCGUACAAGAUGCACUGUAGAUAGCGAAAGCACACGGAUAAUGGAUUUCAUUGCAGGGAGUAUAUCGAUAGGAAACAGAUCUUCAUUUGAACCCACAUGAUUGCUGUACUUCUGACUUUACUACCGUGCAGACCUCGACGCCGCCUGCACACGCAUAGACGUGACUGGACGUUAUCCGUACACGGCUUCACGACAGUCACCGAUCAUCAAGCGCUGUUUAUGGAGUGCGAGAGCAUACAGCAUGAACGUGCAUCUAACAAACCCUUAGGUAGAGUCUAAUCGAAUCGGUUAUGAUACGUUAUCGUACGAAUACGUGUGCACGUCAUUUGAACGGCCUAUGCUGAAGCAGCUUACUAAAUCAGCUAUGGAUAUCUGAGCUAUCAUUCUUUAUCGCCGUACUUACUACCUGAGAAAAGCUUUUCAAUUGCUUAUGGGAGAUGGCUAUUAACUGGCUUGAUAUCUUUUACUUGUCAUUUUAACACAAGACCCACUAAUCAUACAUCCUGUAUACGAAUGCCUGCUUGGUUGAAAGAGGUCCCAUCGACCGGUACUAAUAAUAAGUCUACGGGGCUAUAGUUUAGUAUUCUCCGGCCAAUUCAACUGACACGCAGGCUACAAAGCUGUUUCAAACGUGCGCUGUCAUCGUUUAGUCUACCAUAAGCUUACAUCCAGUCCCGCGAAACUCCAAACAACAGUAAUAGCAACGCAAAUAAUAGUUAUUAGUACUAUUAUUACACUGAGUAAUAAUAAUGGUAGUAACGGUCUAAUAGGAAGCACGGUGGUUACCCGCGGCACGUCAAAGACCGAAACAAAAACAACGACGCGGAUAACAAUAACGCACUGCCAGCUGACUUCAAACAAGACGUCGUGAAAAGCGGUAGCUACAGCGACACGGUAGUGGGGUAGCGGGCAAUACGUUGAAUCCCAAUAAUCGUAAAUCAUUGCCCUUCAGCAGAAACAGCAAUGGUAGGAAUAACAACAUCAACACCAGCUCUGUGGCGAAAAAUAAGAUAAUGGAAAAGCAUCGGUGUUGGCGGCGGCGGCGACAGCAGUAAAGCGAAGCAAACACGUUACGUCUUCAAGAAUCUCUAGGCUUCGACGUAAUUGGAGGAUCUGUCCAGCUGUGCAUCUGCCGAUCCGUUUGUUUACCCGUCUGUUCACCGACAACAAUAACAGCAACUGGGACCAAACUGCUGUUUGAAUCGGCGGUGACGCACCGCUCGGAACGUGUGGGGGAAAGAGAUUCGGAGAGGCAAGAAAGCACGUACUAUCGACAGAUACAGUACGAACUGUAUAUACGCCGAAUACGAUACGAUCAGGAUAGAAGGCCAUUUGAUUCAAAGGUCUGUGACGGCGGUGACAUAGGCCCGUGUCGACGCAGGGAUAGCUGGGAGCGAGCAACGCCGAGGCGAUUCCUGUUCCAUCCGUCUGCUCGGUACCGCAGGAACUGAUCUGUAAGAGCGGGCGCGAGUUCGACUUUAUAAAGGAUAAACCUUAAUAAUCCACCAGUAUCAUUUGCGGUUAUUCUCAAGGAAGAAGCGUGUUUACAUGUUCGCGUUUGUACAGUGAACGCAGACACAACACUAUAAUAUGGCAAUCGUGCCAAACCCUCUAAGGUAUCUUCUAGUAAGAAUUAUCAAGAAAUCAGUAAUUCGAUUUAGAGACGAUUCAUUUCUAUCGAUGGAUUUAAGAAUGAUAAUAAUUAUUUGUUGUGUUACUGUUUCAUUGCAUUAAGAAGAGCUGCUAGGCUGUACUAAGGGAAGAAUAGGACACCGACUAUUUGUAUGGCUUAUGAAAGCAAACUGCAACAAACUUUAUCUAAUUUAUAGCGCCAAACUCACUGUCAUCUGCGUAUGCACAGUUACCUCAUGAAGCGUUGUAAGGAUAUUAGUAACUAAACUAUGUUAUACUUUAGAGUAGUAUAUUUGGGUUGUUCUAGGAACUUCUGUCGUGUGCCGAUUUCCGCUGGCCGACUAUUUAAUCAAUCGUAUUUCGAUGUAUAUAGCUAUAAUAUUGUAUUCUACGUACGGUCAUAAUUUGGUGCACAAAAUACGCUCCCUUAUUAAUUGUGCCCCAAAUACGAUAAUAGACGACCUUCUCUGUAUUCACACUUCAGACAGGCAGCAUAGGCACCAUUGUGCCUAAUGUAGGCCA